CCUGCCAGUAGUUAUAUGCUUGUUUCAAGGACUAAGCCAUGCAAGUCUAAGAAUUAAGUGUGUUAAGCCAAGUCUGCGUACGGCUCAUUAAAUCAGCUCUAAUCUACCCGCUGAAGUGGGGGUUUUUCCCUGCCAGACGGAUACCCUCCAGAAACUAGAGGCUAAUACGUGUACGACAAGCGCUUUUCUCUGUUCCAAUCGGGAAAGGGAAACCGGACCCGUGGAGAGGGCGCGCAGUUGGCCGAUACCAAAAACCAACCCGCGGUGCAUGCGGAGUGGGCGCGUACUGACGAUUCAGGCCAACCGACGAGCGAUAGCGCAGUGGCCCCGAGCCGGCGCAAGAGCGGACGAAGAUCUGCCCUAUCAUGCUGCGAUGGUAGUGUAGUGGACUACCAUGGCCAUCACGGGUAACGGAGGAUCAGGGUUCGAUUCCGGAGAGGGAGCCUGAGAGACGGCUACCACGACUAAGGUCGGCAGCAGGCGCGCAAAUUGCCCAAUACCAAUACUGGUGAGGCAGCGACGAAAAAUAGCAGCUCUGCUUGUCAAUCGACAUGUGGGGACUGCAAUGGAUGAUAUUCAAACCCAUCAAUGAGUAUCAAUUGGAGGGCAAGUCUGGUGCCAGCAGCCGCGGUAAUUCCAGCUCCAAUAGCGUAUGCUAAUGCUGUUGCCGUUAAAAAGCUCGUAGUUGGAUUCACAGGUGGGGUUGCGCAGGGCCCAGCAGGGGGGAGGGUCUCCCUCAUCUUUCCGACGUCUCGGCGUAGGGCAACCGAAACCGAGCGUAUGGGGAUGAGGGUCCUCCUAUUAUUUCCCUGUCCUUGGGGUCCAACCCUGCGCGGAUGACUCCACUCUGUUUGCACACGGAACCGAUCUGCCUGCGGAAGCCUCCUUCACUGGACGGCGGAAGCAACCCUCGCCCAACACAUGGGCUGAAGGCACGUCCGUGGCCGUUACUGUGAACAAAACAGCGUGUUCAAGGCAACUGUGACCUUUUUCCGGUUGAAUGCUCCAGCAUGGAAUAACAAGGGAUGGACCGUCGGGUCCUUCUUUUUGUUGGCUUUCAAGACCCGAAAGCGGGCAAUGCAGAGCGGGAAUCUCCGCGCGGUACCUUCCUCGCCGUUCCUUCGGGUGCGGCGGGGAGGCCGCGUUUUCCCGUCUCUACCCCGGAUCAAUAGGAGCCAUCGGGGAGAUACGUAUUGCUGCGCUAGUGGUGAAAUACUUAGACCGCAGCAAGACGAACAACUGCGAAAGC
rnacentral:rRNA from 1 species